rnacentral:rRNA from 1 species
CCCUUAGAUGUUCUGGGCCGCACGCGCGCUACACUGACGAAUGCAACGAGCUUAUAACCUUGGCCGAAAGGUCUGGGUAAUCUCCAAAUUUCGUCGUGAUGGGGAUAGAUUAUUGCAAUUAUUAAUCUUCAACGAGGAAUGCCUAGUAAGCGCAAGUCAUCAGCUUGCGUUGAUUACGUCCCUGCCCUUUGUACACACCGCCCGUCGCUCCUACCGAUUGAAUGGUCCGGUGAAGCGUUCGGACCGUGGCCUUUGGACGGUUCGCCGUCUGUUGGCUAAACCUUACCAUUUAGAGGAAGGUGAAGUCGUAACA